rnacentral:rRNA from 1 species
AUUGAACGCUGGCGGCAUGCCUUACACAUGCAAGUCGAGCGGCGAAAGGGGGCAACCCCGAGUAGAGCGGCGGACGGGUGAGUAACGCAUCGGAACGUGCCCAGGUAGUGGGGGACAACCUCGAGAAAUCGAGGCUAAUACCGCAUACGACCCACGGGUGAAAGCGGGGGACCGCAAGGCCUCGCGCUAUUGGAGCGGCCGAUGUCCGAUUAGCUAGUUGGCGGGGUAAGAGCCCACCAAGGCGACGAUCGGUAGCUGGUCUGAGAGGACGACCAGCCACACUGGGACUGAGACACGGCCCAGACUCCUACGGGAGGCAGC